rnacentral:rRNA from 1 species
GACAAGGGCCCAGGCCCUAUGGGGCGCAGCAGGCGCGAAACCUCUGCAAUAGGCGAAAGCUUGACAGGGUUACUCUGAGUGAUUUCCGUUAAGGAGAUCUUUUGGCACCUCUAAAAAUGGUGCAGAAUAAGGGGUGGGCAAGUCUGGUGUCAGCCGCCGCGGUAAUACCAGCACCCCGAGUGGUCGGGACGUUUAUUGGGCCUAAAGCAUCCGUAGCCGGUUCUACAAGUCUUCCGUUAAAUCCACCUGCUUAACAGAUGGGCUGCGGAAGAUACUAUAGAGCUAGGAGGCGGGAGAGGCAAGCGGUACUCGAUGGGUAGGGGUAAAAUCCGUUGAUCCAUUGAAGACCACCAGUGGCGAAGGCGGCUUGCCAGAACGCGCUCGACGGUGAGGGAUGAAAGCUGGGGGAGCAAACCGGAUUAGAUACCCGGGUAGUCCCAGCUGUAAACGAUGCAGACUCGGUGAUGAGUUGGCUUAUUGCUAACUCAGUGCCGCAGGGAAGCCGUUAAGUUUGCCGCCUGGGGAGUACGGUCGCAAGACUGAAACUUAAAGGAAU